CGGCUCCAUUCCGAACCCGGAAGCUAAGCCCUUCAGCGCCGAUGGUACUGCACUGGUGACGGUGUGGGAGAGUAGGACGCAGCCGGAC
rnacentral:rRNA from 1 species